UCUUCCCUCUGGCGGCGUGCCUAAUACAUGCAAGUCGAGCGAACAGACGAGGAGCUUGCUCCUCUGACGUUAGCGGCGGACGGGUGAGUAACACGUGGAUAACCUACCUAUAAGACUGGGAUAACUUCGGGAAACCGGAGCUAAUACCGGAUAAUAUAUUGAACCGCAUGGUUCAAUAGUGAAAGACGGUUUUGCUGUCACUUAUAGAUGGAUCCGCGCCGCAUUAGCUAGUUGGUAAGGUAACGGCUUACCAAGGCAACGAUGCGUAGCCGACCUGAGAGGGGGAUCGGCCACACUGGAACUGAGACACGGUCCAGACUCCUACGGGAGGCAGCAGUAGGGAAUCUUCCGCAAUGGGCGAAAGCCUGACGGAGCAACGCCGCGUGAGUGAUGAAGGUCUUCGGAUCGUAAAACUCUGUUAUUAGGGAAGAACAAAUGUGUAAGUAACUAUGCACGUCUUGACGGUACCUAAUCAGAAAGCCGCGGCUAACUACGUG
rnacentral:rRNA from 1 species